GACGAACGCUGGCGGCGUGCUUAACACAUGCAAGUCGAACGAAGAGCGAUGGAAGCUUGCUUCUCUCAAUCUUAGUGGCGAACGGGUGAGUAACGCGUAAUCAACCUGCCCUUCAGAGGGGGACAACAGUUGGAAACGACUGCUAAUACCGCAUACGAUCCAAUCUCGGCAUCGGGACUGGAUGAAAGGUGGCCUCUAUUUAUAAGCUAUCACUGAAGGAGGGGAUUGCGUCUGAUUAGCUAGUUGGAGGGGUAACGGCCCACCAAGGCGAUGAUCAGUAGCCGGUCUGAGAGGAUGAACGGCCACAUUGGGACUGAGACACGGCCCAGACUCCUACGGGAGGCAGCAGUGGGGAAUCUUCCGCAAUGGACGAAAGUCUGACGGAGCAACGCCGCGUGAGUGAUGACGGCCGUCGGGUUGUAAAGCUCUGUUAAUCGGGACGAAUGGUUCUUGUGCGAAUAGUGCGAGGAUUUGACGGUACCGGAAGAGAAAGCCACGGCUAACUACGUG
rnacentral:rRNA from 1 species